rnacentral:lncRNA from 1 species
AAACCAGCUGUAUUAAGGAAGGUGCAAGCUUUUGGGAUUUCUGUUUGGAUUUAGUUUAGGUUCAAAAGAGCACGCACAGAUCCUGAGUGUUGUCAAGCACCCGUGACUGGGAAACGGAGGCGUCCGAUCCGUAUUGGAGUCAAUUCGCCACUUAAUUGUUUCAGGGGUUACUCCAUCAUUAUCAUGGCAGGGAACAUGGCAGGAUGCAGGCAGAUGGUAGCUGAGAGUUCUACAUCUGGAUCCACAUCUAAAGAUGGUACCUUGACUUUGGUGGAUUGCUGGACAGACACACAUGCCAGAAUAUCUUCUCUUAUCCCACCAGACACCAUCAUUUGGAAAACUUGAAAUACCUAUGAAAAUGUUCUUACUUGAACCUAGAUUACACUACAAGGGUUAUAGAAAUCUUUUCACCCCCCCCCCCACACACACACAUUUUUCCUGUGUUCUUCACAAGAAUGACCUGAAGAUAAAUAGGAUAGCAUCUUGAGUUAAUUUAAGGCAGGAAAAUGGCACGUUAUAACUCUAUUAAUAUUAGUGUUCUUUUUGACACAGCUAGCCUAGCAACGUAGCAAUAUCAGCACAAUGUGAACGACUCCUGCCUUUACAUUCUCCCGGAUGGCUUUGUUCCUAAAGCCACACUGAGCAUAUGUGAUUUAAUACAAACACAAAUGUUUGCUUUAGCUGUGCCCAAGACUUGUUAUAACAGUCUUUGAAAAGUGAAUUGUUUUGCCGAGUGAAGACUUAAACUGCAAACUGAUAAUUAAUAAUUCAGGCAUGUUAGGAUUUUUUUUUUUUUUGGUCUUAGCUCUAAGACACUUUACAUUUAUUUGAUAACUGAGUGAGAGUUGCCUUUAAGUAAACAAAUUAAGUUAUACAUUUUGAUAUUCUGAGUAUGCCAGAGGCUCUUGAAAGUCUGUGAAUGGUUCAUUCAUUUUCUGUGUUGACAAUCAUACCUGGAACUGUAGGAAGCAGCAUAAACUCAGAAGUGAGAAAUUCUACCAGGAGCACAACGCACCUUUAUUUUUAUUACUUUCCAGAAUGCAUCAUAAGUCUUUAUCUGUCAUAAUUGUACCUGUCACCAUAUGUGUUUAUUCCAUGUGCAUCUUCUGUGACCACACCCAUACGUCCCAUACAUACAAGAUUAAAUAUGAAUUUCUUUUCUUGUCUAUACUGAGCUUCAAUUCUGAGAUAAUCUCAUGGGUUGGGGUUUAAUAAACAGAGUUUAGGGAAAA